rnacentral:rRNA from 1 species
UACGGAGGGUGCGAGCGUUGUCCGGAAUCACUGGGCGUAAAGGGCGCGUAGGCGGUCUGCUAAGCGUGCGGUGAAAGCCUGGGGCUCAACCCCAGGUCUGCCGUGCGAACUGGUGGACUAGAGCACUGUAGAGGCAGGUGGAAUUCCGGGUGUAGCGGUGGAAUGCGUAGAGAUCCGGAAGAACACCCGUGGCGAAGGCGGCUCUCUGGGACGGUACUGACGCUGAGACGCGAAAGCGUGGGGAGCGAACAGG